GCCAGUUUGGCUCAGUGGAUAGAGCAUUGGCCUGUGAACUCAAGGGUCCCAGGUUUGAUUCCCAGUGAGGGCA
rfam:Myotis lucifugus cont2.3048, whole genome shotgun sequence.